UUCCACGGGCUCUCCAAAAUCUUGAAGGCCAGAUUUGAAGAAAUAUCCUAAAAAUAUGUCUUCUUAUUCGUUAAUCAAUGAUGUGGUAUGUAAUUCUAACUUUAGAUAUGCAAUUAGAACUUUCUCCUUGAUUGCAAGUCUGAACUACCAUUGUAAAUCUGAGCAUUCAUCUUUAAAAUGAGUUGCUAGCUGUUCUACCUUUUGGUUCUUAUCUGAGUCUUGGAUUGGAUUCCGGGUGGACUUGUCAUUCCAGUUAUUUAGGGGUCGUUUGAUAGGGUGUAUAAGAAUGGUAGUAUUAAGUAAGGUGUAUUAGUGAUCUUGUGAUUAGUUAUACUGGGAUUAUUUCUUAUACACUGUUUGGUUUGGUAUAUUGAAGGCCAGAAUUGAAGAAAUAUCCUAAAAAUAUGUCUUCUUAUUCGUUAAUCAAUGAUGUGGUAUAUAAUUCUACCUUUAGAUAUGCAAUUAGAACUUUCUCCUUGAUUGCAAGUCUGAACUACCAUUGUAAAUCUGAGCAUUCAUCUUUAAAAUGAGUUGCUAGCUGUUCUACCUUUUGGUUCUUAUCUGAGUCUUGGAUUGGACUCCGGGUGGACUAGUCAUUCCAGUUAUUUAGGGGUCGUUUGAUAGGGUGUAUAAGAAUGGUAUU
rnacentral:lncRNA from 1 species